ACUUCCUGGUGUUGAGUCAGAAUCUGCUUUUUUUUAACUUGAAGCCAUUGGUUCGAGUCCUACCCUCCAGAGCAGGAGAAAACAAGCUUGUUCCCUCCUCCAUGGGACAGCCCUUGAGAUAUUUGAAGAGGGAUAUCCUAUCUCCUCCCAGUCUCCUCUUUUCCAGGCUAAACAUACCCAGUUCCCUCAAUCA